AAGCCUCACCCAUCUCCUCCACCCCACCCCUUCCACCAAGGCCAGACACGAAGGUUCACCAUCUCCACCUUCCAGUUCCUCACCUCUGGACAGACCCAGGCAUUGGAGGACCAUGAAGAGAUCUACUUCAUGUGUUCUACUGAAGUGUGUUCGCCGCUGGACGGCAGCCUGUGUGUAGAGGGAUGCUUUGGCCAGUGACUAGAAAAGAUGGUCAGAAGGCAAUAGUCAUGGAAGAUUAACUGGCCCAAGGCUGCUUGUUCACCACUAAUAAAACCCCUUAAAAGGA